GGGUGAGCGAUGACUUCAUGCACUGGAAUCUGCAUUUGUUUUCUUUCUGUGAAGAAAGCAGAUCCAGUGUUCCAGCAGGACAGCUACUAGGUGCUCCUGGGCCACAGGCCUCCCUCCCUAGCUUCCUGGAAUUGUGACCAGGCUGACCUCACACUCCAGAAACCCUCCCACCUCUGCCUCCCAAAUGCUGGGAUUAAAGACUUGAGCUACCUCCAUUGAGCUACUGCUAGUCUUUUAGAAUAUCCUCGUGUACGUCAGGAUUGUUAUAACCUGUGUGGAUUGACCUCAUCCCACCACACCCCACCCCAGUCCAUGCCCUGGAGAUGGACCUUGUUUGAGGAAGGAAUUUGAACCAGAGGGAAAACUCCAGGAAAAUUCAAGAGAGAAAUUCACUCAAGAACUUCCGGUGGUGUUCUAGUGAGUUCUUGCUGCUUCCACAGACAGGGCCUUGCUGUUUCUUCUGGAUUGAACUGCCGUUGCAGAUUACUGAAUACUGUUUGUGAGUGGAUCAAGCUACCGAUGCUGAUUUGUGUAAACGGAACGGCUGCUAUCCUGACAAAGAAGACUGGAAUAGUAGCAAAGAACUAUUUCUGAACAGAUCUGUAACCUCCGUUUCCUAUUAACCUUUCCUUUCCACUACCUCUGAGAGCUGCUGGGCUAGAAGGGAGGUUAAAGCAUUUAAGUACCCUUAUUAAAGUAGGUUUUGAAAAAUAUAAGACUACAAAGGUGUGCCACCUUUUAAAUCUUAUAAUGACAUCCUUUAAUGAAUGUAACCUAGAAUGUAGGGAAGCACAUCUACUGUUGCGAUAAAGACACAGGUGCCUACUCCCAAAAGAUGGGGAUAGGAGUGUUCCACUGUCUUUUUCCAUAUGAUAAUGAACCAGCCUGCCUCCAUUUUAGACUUAAAAGCCACCUUAUAGUAAAGACAAACUAGGCUCAUUCCUGUUCAUGAUUAAACCUCUGUUUCUUAAGGCUAUGCUGCACCUGUAACCUUAUAGUUACAAGUAUAACAAAUGGUUCUCUACUACUUGUUCCAGGAAACAGCAACAAUGUCUUUGUUCCAAACCCAUAUGCAUCUGGCAAACCUACCUUGUAUCAAAAGGCUGUUAUGACUGGCUGUUUUUAUGACUACCUUAUGACCACUUUGCAGUCAUGUCUGUUUCAGGAGGUUGUUGUGACUUAAGUAGUCAUGUUCACAUUCUUCUGCUCCUGUAGCCCCACCUAUUUUGCCUGCAAAAUCCCCCACUUGGAAAGUCGCUGCCUCUGAGCUUGUCUUCCUCACUUCUAAGGCUGACUUCUUGAACCCCACCUUAGGGGAGGUAGCCCAUAUACAUUGAUUAAAAAGCUUGCUUUAAUUAGUUGUUGGCUUUAGUUUGGCUAUGAUGAUUUGGAUCUGUGGUCUUUCUCUCGAAUCUUUGGGAUUAACAAUGACUCUGUCUAAAAACUUAAGGAACAGUUUCACUCUGGCUCAUCCUAGAAUUCUUCAGUGUUGUCAGGGAUUUGACUCUACCUGAGUGGAGCUGCCUCAUGGGGAAGGGAACUAAGUUCUCAGAGCAAUGGUGGUUCUGCAGGGCUUCAGACCCUUCUCCUUGCCACCACUGCUACUGACAUCAUUUCAAUCCUGAGGAUGUGGUGAUCUCUGGGGAGUCCUAGAUGAUAGGUUAUUUCUCCACCAUUGAUGAAAUGAGCCAAUUUAAGGCAGAUUAGAUUAUAUUAAAGAUAGGUUUAUUGGAAAGCUGAUCUUGGUGGGUGAGUUCAAUGGCCCCAAGGACCAAGGCUAGGGAAGUCAUCAUGAGGAAAGGGAGCAGGUAAGGGAGGAAGAGAAAAAGAGAGAAGGGGUACACACAUGCAGAGAGAGAAGAGAUAGAGGAGAGAGACUGAGUCAGACACACACACACACACAGAGAGAGAGAGAGAGAGAGAGAGAGAGAGAGAGAGAGAGAGAGCAAAAUGUCUGGAUUAUAUAGGGAGGAGCCUCUGUGGAAAGGCCAGCCCAGCCCUGGGCCGUGAAGUUCAAGGUUGGAGGCAGAGUAUGCUAGGUAGGAACUGAGGGAUGCUGGGAGAACCUGAAAGGCCAGGUCUGCUUUAGUAUGUAAAAUAUGCACCACAGUCCCUUGUCAGGGUUGAGGCAGUCCAAAACCAAAUACUAGAAUGUUCUGUGGUUUGAUCUAAGUGUGGGUUCCCUGGAUGUAUACAUAGGACAAAAUUAAUCAAGCUGCUAACUUAAGUUUUAUGUACUUUUCUGUGUGUAAAUAAUACCCAUAUAAAGCUCUAUUGACGGGGGAAAAGACAUAACAGAUAAGGAAAUACACUUUGUACCUUAUAAACCUUUUGUUAGGAACUUUUCAAAGCUUUUAUCAAACUAUGACUACUAUACUACUUGCAAUGUCAAGGACUUGCCUUUCCUGGUUUUAACCAUUAUAUUUGCAGUUGUAUGGGAUGGGCUCUUCUGUUUGCUUGCUUUCCCAGCCAGCAUUCUGCCUUUGCUUGCCAUUGCUUCUUUCCUCUCUUAGCCACCCUCUUGCCACUAAUGGGACUGCCACUACCUCUGCUGUCUUCUUCAUGCCAUGAGUUCAGCCCACUUGUGACAAAAAGUAAUCACCAUCUGGAAAAAUUUUAAAAGACUAUUCAGAAGUCUUUUUUCCUUUUUGAGCCUAAUACCAGGGGGGCAGGACAAGGAGGAUCUCCCAGGUGAAAGAAUAAAAAAUGCAGCUAAGAAGUCAGAAGUUUAAAAAAGCCCUAAAUACCUCAAAUUCCAGACCCUGCCCUCUACCUGUACUAGCUGACCAUAAAGUAAUAAUAAUAAUCUUGAGAAGCAGGAAGCGUCUCCCAGGAAAUGAUGGACCAUAAAGUAAACAAUCUUGAGAAACAGGAAGCUCCUCCUUGUGAUUUUUCACUGGUAUUCUCGACAUUUUCCAAUGACACCCUCCCUACCCACUGGGGUUGAGGUUUCUUCCUUUAAUUUCCCCUUGUCUCAGUUUCUGGGGGUCGAACUCCACUGCCCCUGCGUGGGAUAUGAGUCUCGACCCCAGUGCACUGGUUCCUAUCAAUAAACCUCAUGUUUAUUACA